GACGAACGCUGGCGGCGUGCCUAAUACAUGCAAGUCGAGCGGACCGAACGAGGGCUUGCUCUUGUUUGGUCAGCGGCGGACGGGUGAGUAACACGUGGGCAACCUGCCCGCGAGACCGGGAUAACUCCGGGAAACCGGAGCUAAUACCGGAUAACACCGAAGACCGCAUGGUCUUCGGUUGAAAGGCGGCCUUUGGGCUGUCACUUGCGGAUGGGCCCGCGGCGCAUUAGCUAGUUGGUGAGGUAACGGCUCACCAAGGCGACGAUGCGUAGCCGGGCUGGGAGGGUGACCGGCCACACUGGGACUGAAACACGGCCCAGACUCCUACGGGAGGCAGCAGUAGGGAAUCUUCCGCAAUGGGCGAAAGCCUGACGGAGCGACGCCGCGUGAGCGAAGAAGGCCUUCGGGUCGUAAAGCUCUGUUGUGAGGGACGAAGGAGCGCCGUUCGAAGAGGGCGGCGCGGUGACGGUACCUCACGAGAAAGCCCCGGCUAACUACGUGCCAGCCGCCGCGGUAA
rnacentral:rRNA from 1 species